AAUUGUAAUUGCCCUGUGUGCUCGACCAGAGCUGUGACACAACAUUACACAUACACCGUGACCACCUUCGAAAAGACAAAGCCUGGCAGGAGAUCGGGAAGGAACUUGGAAUCUCUGGUAAGUUAAACAAAAUAAAUAGUUUUUUGUAUCUAAAAAUCUGACCCAAACUAGCCAGCAACGCGUGCAUGCAGCACGUCAGCUGCAUGGAGGAAGGAGGAAGGAAAGUGAGAGGAAGAUUGGGUCAGCAGCGGGCACAGGGAAAAAGUGGAAGUACUCUUCCACUUUUUCAACAUGGGUUGAGGAUGACAGGACCGCAGAGUACUCUCCAGCAGGUGCAACAACGGAGGGGACAGAGGAGGCAGCAGGACCCUCACAUUCAGCCCCAGAAUAACAAUGUGAUGAGGAGGAGGAGGAGGAUGAGGUGGAGGCAGCCACCCCAACUGCACUUGAGCAGCAGCCACUCAUUGGUAGGAAGAGGACACGGAAGACAUCCAAGGGGCGGGAGGCUGAGAUAGAGGACCUGCUCAUUGAAGCCCUGCGAAAGCAGCAGCAGCGAGUCCCCCAGCCUCCUGUCCCACCUGUGUCGGAGGACGAAAUGUUCCUCAGGAGCCUGCUUCCUUCCCUGCAGAAAUUGUCACCUCAAAGGAAGGAGUAUGUUAAAUUUCACAUCCACAAAUUGAUCUUUGAGGCCAGCAAUGCUGAGCACGAUUCGGAACAAAUUGGAUAGUGCCUGGGGUGACAAUCUCUGCAGGAAAUGAAGCAGGUAUCCAAUUUUCAUUUAGUGAAAUCCUUA